CAUGCGACUAUCGUGGCAUAUCAAUAAGCGGAGGAAAAGAAACUAACAAGGAUUCCCUUAGUAACGGCGAGUGAAGCGGGAAGAGCUCAAAUUUGAAAUCUUCAAGGUUUUACCUUGACGAAUUGUAGUUUAAAGAAGUGUUUUCUGUUGAAGUUUUGGUAAAAGUUCUUUGGAAUAGGACAUCAUAGAGGGUGAGAAUCCCGUAUUUGACCGUUACUUUCCAGCUGUGUGAUACACUUUCAAAGAGUCGGAUUGUUUGGGAAUGCGGUCCAAGAUGGGUGGUAAAUUUCAUCUAAAGCUAAAUAUUGGCGAGAGACCGAUAGCGAACAAGUACCGUGAGGGAAAGAUGAAAAGAACUUUGAAAAGAGAGUUAAACAGUACGUGAAAUUGUCAUAAGGGAAGCGUUUGACACCAGUGUUGUUUUCUCGAAAAUCAAUUAAAAAUGAUGGGAUUUUGUGUUGUAUUGACUUUAUCAGUUUUCUGCACCUUUUUCUUAUCUUUUUUAAUGCACUUUUCGUUUAACAAGUCAACAUCAAUUUCUUUUGUUGUAAAAGGGUAAGAGGAAGGUGGCUUGGCUUUCGGAUAAAGUGUUUAUAGCCUUUUACCUUCUGCAAUCGGGAGAGGAUUGAGGUCUGCAGCGUAGAUCCUUCGGGGUUAGAUACAUUUGUGCUAAGCUAUAGCCUUUUCAUAGACAACAUUGUUGACUAUGAUCAGUCAUGUAGCUUACUCGCUUAUGUCUAUUUUACCUACGCUUAGGAUAUUGACGCGCGUGUGUGCGUG
rnacentral:rRNA from 1 species